rnacentral:lncRNA from 1 species
AUUAGGUGUAUUUGUGAAGGUGAAUGCAAUAAAGGAAUACAUUUUUUUUCAGUGCAUCAGAGGAAGGGGCUCUAAAUACCCUCUCCUGAGGAAUUCAGCUGCAUAUCAGUGAAGGUAAAGUGGAUAUAAGAAAAAUGCCAUGUGUAUGGAGAGCAUUAGGAAAGGUCAUAUAUUUCAAGAAAGAAUAUUGUUUACAAGGAGUGUUAAUAGGUUUCAAGGGAAAUGUUAAUUUUUUUUUCCUGGCUGAAAUAGCUACUGCAAGUUUUUAAUGGUUAAUCAUUCAUUCUUGAAUUUUUAUAUUAAGCAUUUCAUAUUACUUUAUUGACUUAACUUUUAUGCUCUUCUUCAUUUUGACAGUAAAGAAUGACCAGGCAAUACUCUUUGAAAAUUGGAGACCAUUUGCAGCUGCUCUCUGCUGAGGAAAGUGAAUAAUAGGGUGCCCUCAAGGAAUUUCAAAGAGAGCAACAGGAUGAGAUGACAGCUUUUCUCAUGGCCCUGUUAAUAGUUUUUGCUAACAAGGAAAGGGGAAGGGAAUAAUUCUUUGCAAUAAUAUUGACUUCUUCUGUGAUCUUGGCAUCACCACUUGAGUGGAAGCAGGAAUGCUGGAGAAGCCAGAGCCAAACAUGAGUCUCUUCUGGCAAAUACAGGUCACAGUGAACUGUGAAUCUUUGAAGGAUGGAAUUUGGCUCACCAAACCUCUCAGUCCUGGAAUGAUGACUGCCCUAAGAAGAGAAAGAAAUGUGUACAACGACUGUCAAGCCUUGCUUUGCUCCGUAUUUGCCUGCUUUCUUCUGAUACAUGCAAGCAAAACUUCUGACACGGCUGAAGAGCUGACUGGAUCAAUCUGCGAUAGGAGAAAAGGCAUUCAUGAAGUGGGUCCGGGAGGAACAUCAGACCAGCUUUACCAUCCUAACACCUUGUCCUGCCAAAAACUCCAAAACCAUUAACUAUUGACACAUAUAACCAAGAAGAUUUAUGCAUGUGAACGCUGAAGGCAGUGGUGAAAUUCUGCGCUAGAGAACAGUUGCACAGCAGUGAUUUGUGAAACACUAUGAAGCUGCAUCCUGAGAACAGGAAAAAAAGAAUGCAUGAGCUCCGUUGCCCUGGUUUGUAGAACUGACAACUUGGGGAGCCUGUGCUGGCUGCAGCGGGUAUGUGUGCAUAGUGAGUAGAACAGCCCUUGUUUUAAUUUGUAUUGAUCAUGUACGCAGGGAUUUUCCAAGAUAAUCUAAGGGAAUACACAGCCCAAUUCAAUAAGAUAUGGUGAUUGUAUUUCCCUCAUGGUCCUUGUUAAUUUACUUUAAAAAUAUCUUUUGCUUUAGUAUAUAAAUGCUCCAGAAAAAUAUUUACAGUGAAUGGCUGCCUGAUUUCUUUUGAAAUCUACCCAAUUAACACAACACGACAAAAUAUUACAAAUUGGAAUCAUAUGCAUGAUUUUUCAGUCAUCAAUGA